UUUUCUCAUCAAAUCAAAAAAGUUAAAAAUGUAAGAACCCAAAAUCAUUUAUCAUCUUCAAAUGAAGAUUUAUUCAAGUAACAAAGAAAGACCGACAACAGAUCUAACAUGUGACGCCCCCAAAAUAGGUAUACAUCACCCAUCUUGAGUCGCCAAAUACAUGGUACAAAAUACAAAUACAAACUUAAUUAUACAAUCGUCGUGUAAUAUACGACAAAACAUAACUGAGAGUUUAAACAGGAAUGUUUCCUUCUAGACAAUAUCCACUCUCAAAUAGAGUCCUCAUUAAAUUUAUUGUCACACUAUUUUAUAGAAUAGUGAGGACUACUACCAUCUCGGACCAUCACUCCAUUCCCCGACUAGUCCGGGCUACGUUCUCAUUUCCUGAAGAGAACAAUGAAAGAAAAAGGGUGAGCUCAACUAGCCCAGUAAGAAAUAUUAUGACUAAGAUAAUGCAGAAUAAAUUAUCAUUAGUCUUCAACAAUGUUAAACUGAUAAAAUACAAUAGAUAUCAAGUUUAACUGCAGCGGAAUAAGUAAUCCAUUAGAAGAGUCAAGUAGAGCAUGAUUGUAAGACUCUGAAUUUUAUGAAAUAAAAGUAUUCAAUUUUCUUAUAAUUAUUAUUUUAUUUCGUAAAUGGUUAAAUUGAUAAAAGGUUAAAGUUAAGGGUGAUAUGUGAAAUUUUUUGCAAAGUAUGCAAGUUGUUAUAAAAUAUUUGUUUGGUCGGGGAAUAUUCUUUUUAUCGGGGGAAUAUCCGUACGACGACACAAUCAUUGGUGGACCCCACAACGAAAGUAUUGUCGUAGUAAGAAAAUGACAGAAUUAUCUUUUUAUAAAAAUAACAGCGAAAGUGUUACCCUUAAAAACUGUUGAACUACCCGGUAGUAAAAGUACAGUGAUACGCGUGGUUGCAUAGUAGCACACGGUAUUGAUUAUUGAUGCUUACGUAAGAAGUCACUCAGUUAUACUCAAUUAUUGCUACAGUAAUUGUUGCAUCAUAUUUCUCAUGUUAUUGAUUCGAUUAUUGUCACAGUAUCAUCUGCAUAAUAUGAUAUAUUAUUAAAUCAAUAAUUGAGACGUCAAAGUUAUUCAUAUUAUUAAAUUGCAAUAUUUAUAAUGUCUAGAAGUUCUGUCAAGGAGAGGUUUGGUCAUCUAAUUGCGCGCCAAUAAGGAGAAAUCCUUAUCGGAAAGCCCCCUCUUUUCUGGGAACGACCUGAUUGUUAAAUAUUGUGAGUUAUAAUAUUAAUGAUGAAUAAGAUCGUGUUGAUUAAAGAUGAAAUUGAUAGUUCCAUUGUGUUAUGAUUGUUAGUGUUAAUCGAAAUUGACAUUUAUUUCGAUAAUAAUUGAUGUCUGGAGGUUAUAUUGACCAGUCGGGUAAUUAUUCUGUGAAAUAGUGUAAUAAUAAAUGUAAUGAGGACUCCAUUGAAUGUGGAUAUUGUCUAGAUGACAAUAUUUGUAUUAAAACUCACAUCAUAUGUUUUGUCAUAUUUUACACGACCAUUUUAUAAUUAGUUUGUAUUUGUAUUUUGUACCAUGUAUCUGGCGACCCAAGAUGGGUGAUGUAUACCUAUUUUUUGGGGCGUCACAGUGUUAGUGGAAAUCGGCAUUUAUUUCGAUAAUAAUUGAUGUCUGGAGGUUAUAUUGACCAAUCGAGUAAUUCACCGGAUAAAUGAAUAAUUAAUUGCUAUUAAUUCACAAGCUUAUAACUAUGUGCUCACAUGUGUGUACUAUUAAUUCACAUGAUUUACUAUUAGGGGAGUUGGUGCAAGAUUGAUAAUACUUGCAUGACUAAAUUAAAAAUGGAGGUAUAGAUGAAGGUACUAUACUAUAAUUAAUUUUUUCACAUGUUUAGAACUAUUGAGUCAAAUGAUUUACUAUUGAUUCACAUGAUUUACUAUUAGGGGAGGUGAUGUAAGUUUGAUAAUACUUGUAGGACUAAAUUAAAAAAUGAAAAAAAAGAGGAAGGUAUUAUACUGUAAUAUUUCGAGCCCCAAAACGUGCAAUUAUCGAAACUAUAUUUUCCUAUAAAUAGAAGCUCAUUCUUCCUUCAUUAAUUCUCACCAAUUCACUAAGUCUCACAAGAGCAAUUAUUAUAGAGAAAUUAUAGAGCAAAAGAAGAAGAGAAGUCUGUUACCUCACUAUUCCAGUAUCCAGUUUUCUUCUAAGGUAAGGGGUAUUAUUUCUUUUGUAUUCAUGAAGAGAGUUAUUUUCUUUCAAUACUCGUAAGAGCUGUUAUUACAUUCUUUAUUAUUCUGUUGGAAUAACCUGUCUACGCGGACUACCGCAUGCAUGGUGAAUUCUUUUGUUAUUUCAUUCUUUAUUAUUCUGUUGGAAUAACCUGUCUACACGAACUACCGCAUGCAUGCUGAAUUCUUCUGUUAUUCCAUUCUUUAUUAUUCUGUUGGAAUAACCUGUCUACGCGGACUACCGCAUGCAUGGUGUGACGCCCCCAAAAUAGGUAUACAUCACCUAUUCUGAGUCGCCAAAUACAUGGUACAGAAUAUAAAUACAAUCUUUAAUAUACAAUAAGAGAGCUGUGAGUUUUAAUACAAAUACUGUCUUCAAGACAAUAUCCACUCUCAGAAUAAGUCCUCAUUAUAUUAAUUGUCACACUAUUUAACAAAAUAGUGAGGACUACUAAUACUAUCAUCUGGUCCAUCACUCCGUUCCCCGACUCGUCCCAGCUAUAUUCUUAUUUCCUGAAGAGAACAGUGAAAGAAAGGGUGAGCUCAACUAGCCUAGUAAGAGAUAUUAUGACUAAGAUAAUUUAGAAUAAAUUAUCAUUAGUCUACAACAAUGUUAAAUUGAUAAAAUACAAUAGACAUCAAGUUUAAUUGCAGCGGGACAAGCAAUCCAUUAAAAGAGUCAAGUAGAGAAUAAAAUCUACUAUCUUUUAUGAUUUAAAAGGUUUUUCAUCACUUUUAUCGCUGAGACUCAGCUUAAUAAAUAAUCCACAUCAUCGAAUCACCCCUGCACUACGGCCAAGGAUAUUCUUUAGUAUCACGACCACAAUUAUCCAUGCACUACGGGCCAAGAAUAUUUGUGUAUUCAUUAAUGGUCAUGAUCAUGCCAACAACUGUCCAUCAAUGCACUACGGGCCAAUGAGGACUUUUACCACAUCAUUUGUAACAUUACGGUCAUGAUUACACCGAAUAAUCCCUGGUCAUAAUCAUACCAAGUCCAUCUAUGCACUACAGGCCACAGAUGACUUUCAAAAAAAUAUAAACAUGAGGAUGAUGACAAUGAUAUAAGAAUUCAAUAAAACAAGUUCACGAAUUAAUUUAUCCAGGAACUAAUAACGUCCAAAUUAUCAACAUGAUAUUUCUUUGUAGAGUAAAAUUCAAGAAUGCUCAGAAGAAUAUUUCCAUAAAAAGAUACUGGAUAAAGCGCAAAUAUCAAGGAUAUUCCACUAAUUUCAUGGAGUAUAGAAGUCAAAACUUUAACCAACUGAGUAUAAUAAGGAAUGUAAUAACAAAAGAAAUCACCAAGCAUGCGGUAGACUGCACAGGCAAGUUAUUCCAACAGAAUAAUAAAGACAGAACCAGGUCCAGUGCAAAACGCACAGACAGGAUAUUCUAAUAGAAUAAUAAAGACGGAACUAGGUCUGGCGUAAAACGCACAGACAGGAUAUUCCAACAGAAUAAUAAAGACCGAACUAGGUUAUGCGUAAAGCACAGACAGGAUGUUCCAACGGAAUGGUAAAGAAUGGAAUAACAGAAGAAUUUCACCAAGUAUGAGGUACUUCGCAUAAACAGGUUAUUCCAACAUAAUAAUAAAGAAUGGAAUAACAUAAGUUCUCUUCAUGAAGACGAAAGAAAGAAAUAAUACCCCUUACCUCAGAAGAAACUGGAUACUAGAAUAGUGAGGUAGCAGGCUUCUCUUCUUCUAUAGAUUUUCUUUCUACAAUUUCUCUCUAUAAUAAUUUCUCUAUAGCUUUAGUGAAUUGGUGAGAAAUGAAGGAAGAAUGAGCUUCUAUUUAUAGAAAAAUAUAGUAUCAAUAAUUGCACGUUUUGGGACUCGAAAAAUUACAGUACAAUACCUCCAACUUUUCUUUUAUUUUUAAUUUAGUCAUGCAAGUAUUAUCAAACUUGCACCACCUCCCCUAAUAGUAAAUAAUGUGAUUCAACAGUAAAUCAUGUGGAUCAAUAGUUCUAGACAUGUGAAAAUACGAAUUACAGUAUAGUACCUCCAUCUAUACCUCCAUUUUUAACUUAGUAAUGCAAGUAUUAUCAAUCUUGCACCAACUCCCCUAAUAGUAACAAGAAUGUGAAACAAUAGUAUACACAUGUGAACAAAUAGUUAUAAUCAUGUGAAAUAAUAACAAUCAAUUGCUCAUUUAUCCGGUUAAAUACCCGAUUGGUCAAUAUAACCUCCAAACAUCAAUUAUUAUCGAAAUAAAUGUCGAUUUUCACUAACACAAAUAAUUCCAACACAAUGAAACUAUUUUUAUCAAUAAUAUAAAUUUUGAAAUUUCGAACUUUGACUUUUCCCAAAAAGUCAACUGUUGACUUUUUGACCAAAAAGUUAAUCCCGGAAAAUUUUGUGUUUAUAGACUAUUUUUACUAAUUUCAUCAUUCCGGACUCAAAUAUCACGUCCGCGUCUCCAAAUUCAACUCCGANNNNNNNNNNNNNNNNNNNNNNNNNNNNNNNNNNNNNNNNNNNNNNNNNNNNNNNNNNNNNNNNNNNNNNNNNNNNNNNNNNNNNNNNNNNNNNNNNNNNNNNNNNNNNNNNNNNNNNNNNNNNNNNNNNNNNNNNNNNNNNNNNNNNNNNNNNNNNNNNNNNNNNNNNNNNNNNNNNNNNNNNNNNNNNNNNNNNNNNNNNNNNNNNNNNNNNNNNNNNNNNNNNNNNNNNNNNNNNNNNNNNNNNNNNNNNNNNNNNNNNNNNNNNNNNNNNNNNNNNNNNNNNNNNNNNNNNNNNNNNNNNNNNNNNNNNNNNNNNNNNNNNNNNNNNNNNNNNNNNNNNNNNNNNNNNNNNNNNNNNNNNNNNNNNNNNNNNNNNNNNNNNNNNNNNNNNNNNNNNNNNNNNNNNNNNNNNNNNNNNNNNNNNNNNNNNNNNNNNNNNNNNNNNNNNNNNNNNNNNNNNNNNNNNNNNNNNNNNNNNNNNNNNNNNNNNNNNNNNNNNNNNNNNNNNNNNNNNNNNNNNNNNNNNNNNNNNNNNNNNNNNNNNNNNNNNNNNNNNNNNNNNNNNNNNNNNNNNNNNNNNNNNNNNNNNNNNNNNNNNNNNNNNNNNNNNNNNNNNNNNNNNNNNNNNNNNNNNNNNNNNNNNNNNNNNNNNNNNNNNNNNNNNNNNNNNNNNNNNNNNNNNNNNNNNNNNNNNNNNNNNNNNNNNNNNNNNNNNNNNNNNNNNNNNNNNNNNNNNNNNNNNNNNNNNNNNNNNNNNNNNNNNNNNNNNNNNNNNNNNNNNNNNNNNNNNNNNNNNNNNNNNNNNNNNNNNNNNNNNNNNNNNNNNNNNNNNNNNNNNNNNNNNNNNNNNNNNNNNNNNNNNNNNNNNNNNNNNNNNNNNNNNNNNNNNNNNNNNNNNNNNNNNNNNNNNNNNNNNNNNNNNNNNNNNNNNNNNNNNNNNNNNNNNNNNNNNNNNNNNNNNNNNNNNNNNNNNNNNNNNNNNNNNNNNNNNNNNNNNNNNNNNNNNNNNNNNNNNNNNNNNNNNNNNNNNNNNNNNNNNNNNNNNNNNNNNNNNNNNNNNNNNNNNNNNNNNNNNNNNNNNNNNNNNNNNNNNNNNNNNNNNNNNNNNNNNNNNNNNNNNNNNNNNNNNNNNNNNNNNNNNNNNNNNNNNNNNNNNNNNNNNNNNNNNNNNNNNNNNNNNNNNNNNNNNNNNNNNNNNNNNNNNNNNNNNNNNNNNNNNNNNNNNNNNNNNNNNNNNNNNNNNNNNNNNNNNNNNNNNNNNNNNNNNNNNNNNNNNNNNNNNNNNNNNNNNNNNNNNNNNNNNNNNNNNNNNNNNNNNNNNNNNNNNNNNNNNNNNNNNNNNNNNNNNNNNNNNNNNNNNNNNNNNNNNNNNNNNNNNNNNNNNNNNNNNNNNNNNNNNNNNNNNNNNNNNNNNNNNNNNNNNNNNNNNNNNNNNNNNNNNNNNNNNNNNNNNNNNNNNNNNNNNNNNNNNNNNNNNNNNNNNNNNNNNNNNNNNNNNNNNNNNNNNNNNNNNNNNNNNNNNNNNNNNNNNNNNNNNNNNNNNNNNNNNNNNNNNNNNNNNNNNNNNNNNNNNNNNNNNNNNNNNNNNNNNNNNNNNNNNNNNNNNNNNNNNNNNNNNNNNNNNNNNNNNNNNNNNNNNNNNNNNNNNNNNNNNNNNNNNNNNNNNNNNNNNNNNNNNNNNNNNNNNNNNNNNNNNNNNNNNNGAAAUCCAUGGUAAUGUGCUCCCAUUUCCAUUCUGGAAUUUUAAGUGGUUGCAAUGGACCUUUUGGCACUUGAUGCUCCGCCUUGACUCGCUGACAAGUUAGACACCUUGAGAUAAACCCCGCUAUCUCUCUCUUCAUAUUGCUCCACCAAAAUGUAUGUCAAAGAUCACGAUACAUUUUGGUACUCCCAAGAUGGAUUGCAAACGGUGUGUUGUGCGCCUCCAUCAUGAUUUUAUACUUCAAGUCAGAAUCGUUAGGAACACAAAGUCUGGAGUUGAAUCGAAGUAUUCCUUCUUCAUCAAUUUUUGCUUCCGGAAUAGCACCUUCUUGCACUUUCUACUUCAUACGGAUCAGCUCCAGGUCUAUAGUUUAAGCAGCUUUAACUUUAUCGAUUUAAGUCGGUUCUACUCGUAUAUUCUCCAUCAUCACAUGGGUCCCUGGAGUCUUUAACUCUAUCUCCAUCCUUCGUAAGUCAUACAAAAUGGGUCUUUGCGUUGACAAUAUUGCACUUGUACCUGCAUAUGAUCUUCUACUCAAUGCGUCAGCUACUACGUUCACUUUUCCAGGAUGGUAUUGGAUGGUAUGAUCAUAAUCUUUCAAUGACUCAAGCCAUCGUCGUUUCCGCAUGUUAAGUUAGUUUUGAGUGAAGAAAUAUUUGAGGCUUUUAUUAUCCGUAUAGAUCUCCACAUUCUCUCCAUACAGGUAAUGCCUCCAAAUCUUAAGCGCAAAAAUGACUGCUGCCAACUCUAGAUCAUGAGUAGGAUAAUUCCUCUCAUAUUCUUUGAGUUGUCGAGAGGGAUAGGCUAUGACUUUCCCAUGUUGCAUGAGAACACAUCCUAACCCUUUGCCUGAAGCAUCACUAUAGAUAACAAAUCCCUUCGAGCCAGAUGGUAUUGUCAAAACAGGUGCUGAAAUGAGUCUCCUCUUGAGUUCUUGAAAACUCUUUUCACAUUCCUCGCUCUAACCGAAUUUUGUAUCUUUUCGAGUCAGCUGAGUUAAUGGAGUAGCGAUUCGAGAAAACCCUUCUACGAAUCUCCGAUAAUAACCAGCUAAGUCGAGAAAGCUACGUACUUCGGUCACUGACUUAGGUUGCUCCUAGCUUUGAAUUGCUUCAAUCUUUGCCGAGUCAACAGAUAUUCUAUAAUUUGAUAUUACGUGCCCAAGGAAUGCAACUUCUUCAAGCCAGAACUCGCAUUUCUUCAACUUGGCAUAUAACUUUUUUCACGAAGCUUUUCGAGUAUCAGCCUUAAGUGUUGUUCAUGGUCUUCACGGGUUUUGGAGUAUAUGAGGAUGUCAUCAAUAAAGAUGACCAUAAAGUGAUCCAAAUAUUCCUUGAAUACUCGGUUCAUCAUGUCCAUGAAGACAGCAGGAGCAUUAGUCAAUCCAAAAGACAUGACUAGGAAUUCAUAAUGCCCGUACCGAGUUCUGAAAGCAGUCUUUGGAAUGUCAUCAGUUUUAAUCUUCAACUGAUGAUAUCCGGAAUGAAGAUCAAUCUUUCAAAAGAAUUUGGCUCCUUGCAACUGGUCGAACAGGUCAUCAAUGCGAGGCAAUGGGUACCUAUUUUUGAUGGAGACAGGAUUUAACUCCCGAUAAUCCAUACAAAGUCGCAUACUUCCAUCUUUCUUCUUCAUGAAUAGAAUAGGAGCACCCCAAGGAGACGUACUAGGAUGAAUGAAACCGAUGUCUAACAAUUCCUGUAGUUGGGUUUUUAACUCCUGAAGUUCAAUAGGAGCCAUUUGAUAUGGGGCUUUGGAAAUGGGUUUUGUACCGGAUUCAAGGUCGAUACAAAAUUUAAUUUCACGCUCUGGGGGUAGGCCAGGAAGUUCUUCAGGGAAUACGUCAGGAAAUUUAUUAACAAUAGAAAUAUCAUUCAAAUCUGACGUAUUUUUAUUUAAAUCCGUGACAUGGGCUAAGAAAGCUUGACAUCCGUUUUUCAAUAAACGAAUAGCUUUAUGACUUGAUAUGACAGUGAUUGAUUUUAGUGGUUUGGUUGCUUGAAUUCGCAUAAUAGGUUGGUUAGGAAUAUGAAAGCUAACAACCUUAUGAAAACAAUCGAUUUUAGCAUGAUGAGUAGUUAACCAAUCAAUCCCUAAAAUCACAUCAAAUGCAAGUAUUUUCAAAGAAAUAAGAUCGACAGGUAACGUGCGGUUACCGAUUUGAAUCAAACAAGACUUAUAAACCGUGGAUGUAAUGAAGGUUUCUCCCAACGGAGUUUCAACAGAUAAGUCAAAGUCUAAUUUCUCCGGAGUCAAAUUUAAACGUUGAGCGCAAGUAGGAGAAAUAAAGGAAUGGGUAGAACCGAUAUCAAAUAAAGUAUAAACUUUGCUAGAAUUUAUGAUUAGCUUACCCAUGAUCACCUCGUUCGGAUUCCUCAUUUUUUGGGAGGUUACGACAAAUGCUCUCCCUUGAACUACCGGUUUUGUCUUGUCUGGGACACCCUUUGAUGCCUCCAUCCCCGCUGGACUUAACUUUGGUGCACGACAAAAUUGGACUAGGUGACCUUCUUUUCCACAAUUGUAACAUGCUUUGGACUGCAUCGUGUAGUUUGGACUUAUGUGUCCUUCCCCUCCACAUUUGUAACAUACGACCGGUGGUCGUUCUCCUUCCUUAACAACAGGUGCUGGUGCUGACGUCUUUCUAUCAUUAUUGAAUCUCCUCUUCUUGAAAUGUCCACUCUUAUUGGCAUAUCCAUGAUUACCACUGAAGUGAUUACCAUUUUUGGCAUGUUGAUUCCCUUCACGUUUGUUGUCACCGCUUCAAUGACUGCUACCACUGAUAUUAUCAACUUGCCAGCUGCUCUCUCUUGGUUGGGUUGACUCAUUAUAGCACUCCAAUAACUGAGCCCUAUUCAUAACAUCUGAAUACAAACACAGUUUAUGAGAGAUAAGGUAUUGACGUAUCUCGAGUUUCAAACCUCUUAGAAACAUCCGCGUCAUUCUCUCCUCAUUAUCAACCAAGUGGGACGCAAACCAAGACAACUCGGCAAACUUAGCUUCGUACUGUGCCACGGUCAUAUUGUUUUACUCAAGCUUGAUGAACUCUACCUCCUUCAUGUGACGAAUACUUUUAGGAAAGUACUUGGGAGCUGUCGUUUACACUCCUAAAUUAACCUCACUUUCACUUUACAAAUUCAAACAAUUAGCACAAUAGUACGCAAGGAUCGAUCCCACAGAGAGUGAUUUGUUUUAUAUUUAUUCUAUUAUUUUGAUAGAAAAUAAAGAUGGGGGUUUUUUGAAAAUUGUUUUUAAACUAAGAGAACAAGAAUUAAAUGAUAAUAUUAAUUAAAGAUGUAAAAAGUUCAGUUCUGCAGUUCAGUUUCACCAAGUACAACAAUCAAUUAAUCAAGUUAUUAUUAUUUUCCCUUCAAUGAAACUAUUAGCCCUAGAUAACAAUAAGCUCUGCUAUCCAAAAUUCUCCUUAGAUUUUCACUGUAUGAAACAAGCUCUCCACCAGAUUCUAACUAGCAUACAACCUAGAAUAAGCUCUCUAAAUUUAAUAUGAUAGAAGCAUUAAGAAAUAGAGAAUUAGGCUAAUCUAAGUAACAAACACAUAAGCUCGAUUUGUUUAACUUGUUUUCUAAUAAUCUUAGCAAUACACAAAAGCUUGUCCACAAUUAGUAUUACCAAGUUGCUACUUGUGAUGAAGAAAGAUAUCAAUUACACGUAAUAUCAAUCUUAAUCUAGCAGAUGAUAAUGAUCAAAUUAACUCAAUUGGCCAUAUUAAAUCAAUUAGAUCAAUUAGCAUGCAAUCAAUGAAAACAGAUUAUCAGAAGAAAUUUCACACAAGAAGGAAUAAAUAAUAAUACUCAAUUAAUCAAUUAUUUGUAACAAGGAUUCACCUCCCUUUAGAACUGAAUAAAAAGAACUAGCCUGACAUGCUCUUGAGUCUGCACUCCAAUAGAUGAUAGUUGAUAGUUGAAUGAAUAAAACCCUGACUCUCAUCCUCUAUUUAUAUUGCUAGACAAAGUCCUAAAUCCUAUAGGAAGUAGAAAUCUAAAUCCUAAAUCUAAUAGAAAUAUUUAUAGAAUCCAAUUUGAAAAUAAAUCUUAGUCUAAAAGAUAUCCUAAAUCUAAUAGAAAUAUCAAUCCAAUUCCAUGUAGAAGUCUACCAAAAUUUGCAUUUAGAAACUUUCCAAAAAUCCAAGAUUUCUCAAUUUUCCCGCUCAAAUUCGCUGGGGCGAAUUUUCAUUUUCUACUGCAACGUCCUUUGGUAAAAUGAGCAUAACUUUUGAUUCGGGAGGAGUUAAGAGGCCUACUACCUAUCAAAACGAAGAUAUCGACGAGAUCGAAAACUUUUAUUCUUUGAGAAUCGACAGAAUAUUUCUUCAUCAAGGUCGAAAUCGGGCUCCAAGUGACUACUGUGUAAAUUGCAACUUCCAAACUUUGAGGUUCAACGUCCGUUUAGUAAAAAUAUCAUAAACUUUUCAUAUUAACUCCAUUUUGGACGAUUCAAGAUGUUCCGAAAAGCUAAAGAAGAGCUAUAAAAUAAAAUUCAAGUCCCAAGCCAAGAACACGCAUCCAACUUAAUGCUAAAAAUCCUGCAAUUUUCUCUUUUUCCUUAUUUCAGCUCCAAUUCUUUCUGAAAUCAUUAAACACCUUAAUAAGCUCAUAUACACAUGAAACAUGCAAUAAAACUAAAUAUAACGGGAUCAAAAUAAAUGAAUAAUAUGCACUCAUCAGUAUUUGUCGUUGAACAGUUCUUGAAACUUCUCCCAAGACAUCUUCAGUGCGGCAGGUUGAGUACGCUUUACAGAUUUCCACCAGUAAUCUGCCUCUGCUCGCAACAUGAAGGUGGCAAAGGGAACCUUUUGCUCCUCGGAGCAUCCCAAGACAUCAAAUAUCUUAUUGAUCUGCUUUAUCCACGUCUCUAUCUUAAGUGGUUUUGGCUCUCCAAAAAACUCCGGUGGUCCCAGCUCCUUGAACUGCUUAGCGGUGACCGUCCGAGAGUUAUCAGUGUUUCCACCUGCAUUUUGGACAGGAGCCGCCUUCGCCUGAUGUUGCAUGAAUUGCAUAAAACCUCUGAACAUCCCAUCGUUCAUCAUUUGAUCGUUGUUGUUUACCUGAGGAUUAUUGUCUUCCUGUUGCACAUUAUCCUGGGUAUUAAUAUGUGGUGACUCAACGGUCUCAUGUGCUUCAUUGAUUAUCUCAACAUUUUCGGAUGCCAUUUUCAAAUACUGCCACAAAACAAGGGUUAAUUAACAUAUCACAUAUUAUCCCUAUACUCUGACCGACCAAUUAAAUACCAAAUAAACUUAGGUAGGUCAUACUAGCGAAGGAAUUCCCCGUCUCUCCCCUCCUAGUUCUUGUCUCACAUCUCAGCCAGGGAUCAUAUCCCUAAGCUUUGAUACCAACUGUGACGCCCCCAAAAUAGGUAUACAUCACCCAUCUUGAGUCGCCAAAUACAUGGUACAAAAUUCAAAUACAACUUAAUUAUACAACAGUCGUGUAAAAUACGACAAAACAUAAUCUAAGAGUUUUAAUAAGAAUAUUGUCAUCUAGACAAUAUCCACACUCAAUGGAGUCCUCAUUACAUUUAUUGUCACACUAUUUAACAGAAUAGUGAGGACUACUAAUGCUAUCAUCUGGACCGUCACUCCGUUCCCCGACUAGUCCCGGCUACGUUCUCAUUUCCUGAAGAGAACAGUGAAAGAAAGGGUGAGCUCAACUAGCCCAGUAAGAAAUAUUAUGACUAAGAUAAUGCAGAAUAAAUUAUCAUUAGUCUUCAACAAUGUUAAACUGAUAAAAUACAAUAGACAUCAAGUUUAACUGCAGCGGAAUAAGCAAUCCAUUAGAAGAGUCAAGUAGAGCAUGAUAUCUACUAUCUUCUAUGAUUUAAAAUGUUUUUAUCAAUUUUUAUCGCUGAAACUCAGCUUAAUAAAUAAACCACAUCAUCGAGUCAUCCCUGCACUACGGGCAAAGGAUAUUCAUUAAAUCAAUAAUGGUCAUGACUAUACCGAAUAAUCCCUGGUCAUAAUCAUACCAAAAACUGUCCAUCAAUGCACUACAGGCCACUGAGGACUUUUACCACAUCAUUUAUAACAUUAUAGGUCAUGAUUAUACCGAAUAAUCCCUAGUCAUAAUCUUACCAAGUCCAUCUAUGCACGUAAGCCAAAGAUGACUUUCAUCACAAUAUAAGCAUGAGGAUGAUGACAAUGACAUAAUAAUUCAAUAAAACAAGUUCAAUGAUAAUUUUAAAGUUUAAAAUUUUAGUUAAUCCAGAAAUCAAUAACGUCCAAAUUGUCAACAUGAUACUUCUUUGUGUAAAAUUCAAGAAUACUCAGAAGAAUAUUCCCAUGAAAAGAUACUGGAUGAAGCGCAAAUAUCCAGGAUAUUCUACUAAUUUCAUGGAGUAUAGAAGCCAAAACUUUAACCAACUGAGUAUAAUAGAAUAUAUGAAACUGCAAAUGGAUUUUCGCCCGCUAUGCGGUAAUCCACGUAGAUAGAUCAUUUCCUCAAUUUAAUAAGGAAUGAAUACAAAGGAUCAUUCACCAUGCAUGCGAUAAUCCAUAUAGACAGGAUAUUCCAACAGAAUAAUAAAGAAUGGAAUAACAGAAGAAUUCACCAGGCAUGCGAUAGACCGCACAAACAGGUUUUUCCCAAAAGAAUAAUAAAGAAUUGAACCAGGUCAUGCGUAAUCCGCACAAACAGGAUAUUCCAACAGAAUAAUAAAGAAUGGAAUCAGGUCAUGUAUAAUCCGCACAGACAAGAUGUUCCAACAGAAUAAUAAAGAAUGAAAUAACAACAGAAUUCACCAGGCAUGCGAUAGACCGCACAGACAGGUUAUUCCAACAGAAUAAUAAAGAAUGAAAUAACAACAGAAUUCACCAGGCAUGCGAUAGACCGCACAGACAGGUUAUUCCAACAGAAUAAUAAAUAAUGGAAUAAUAGAAGAAUUUCAUAAUGUAUGCGGUACUUCACAUAGACAGGUUAUUCUAACAUAAUAAUAAAGAAUGGAAUAACAGCCCUUACGAGUAUUGAAAGAAAAUAACCCUCUUCAUGAAUACGAAAGAAUAAUACCCCUUACCUUAGAAGAAACUGAAUAUUGGAAUAGUGAGGUAGCAGACUUCUUUUCUUCUUUUUCUCUAUAAUUUCUUUCUAUAAUAAUUGCUCUAAAGCUUUAGUGAAUUGAUGAGAAAUGAAAGAAGAAUGAACUUCUAUUUAUAGGAAAAUAUAGUUUCGAUAAUUGCACGUUUUGGGGCUCGAAAUAUUACAGUAUAAUACCUUCCUCUUUUUCUUCAUUUUUAAUUUAGUCCUGCAAGUAUUAUCAAACUUGCACCACCUCCCCUAAUAGUAAAUAAUGUGAAUUAAUAGUUCAAUCAUGUGAAUCAAUAGUUAUAAUCAUGUGAAUUAAUAGCAAUUAAUUGCUCAUUUAUCCGAUUAAUUACCCGACUGGUCAGUAUAACUUCCAGACACCAAUUAAUAUCGAAAUAAAUGUCGAUUUCCACUAACACUAAUAAUUCCAACAUAAUGGAACUAUCAAUUUCAUCUUUAAUCAACAUGAACUUAUUCAUCAUUAAUAUUAUAACUCACAAUAUUUAACAACCAGGUCUUUCCCAGGAAAGAGGGGGCUUUCCGAUAAGGAUUUCUCCUUAUUGGCGCGCAAUUAGAUGACCAAACCUCUCCUUGACAGAACUUCUAGACAUUGUAAAUAUUACAAUUUAAUAAUAUGAAUAACUUUGACGUCUCAAUUAUUGAUUUAAUAAUAUAACAUAUUAUGCAGAUGAUACUGUGACAAUAAUUGAAUCAAUAAUAUGAGAGAUAUGGUGCAGCAAUUACUGUAGCAAUAAUUGAAUAUAACUGAGUCACUUCUUACGUAAGCAUCAAUAAUCAAUACCGUGUGCUACUAUGCAACCACGCGUAUUACUGUACUUUUACUAUCGGGUAGUUCAACAGUUUAACAGUAAAACUUCCGCCGUUAUUUUUAUAAAAAGAUAAUUCUGUCAUUUUCUUACUACGACAAUACUUCUGUUGUGGGGUCCACCAAUGAUUGUGUCUUCUUACGAAUAUUACCCGUUAAAACGAAUAUUCCCCGACCAAUCGAAUAUUAUAUAACCACUUGCUUACUUUGCAAAAUUUGUAAAUAUUACCACAACUAUAACAUUAUAUUAUAUCCACACCAUAAUAUUCAAAAAUAUAUUUUGAGAGAAAUUAAUCUUUAUUCAUUAAAGUUGGGGUCUUACAUAACAUACCUAAUCAAUAUGCAAAAAAAAAAAACUCAAAACCCAAAAUCACAUGUACCCAAUUAAAAUUAAAAUCAAUUCACACAUAAUUAAUCAAAAUUUGCCUAGUGUUGACUUUGUCAUAUUCAAUCCUUAAGUUUUGAUGAUGAAAUGUUCAAGUACUAAAUUGUUUUACGGUGUUUCAGGUAUUUGUUGAUAAAAGAAUGUUGGUGAGAUUUUCAAGUGAAGGAAGCGAGUGUUUCUUAUUUCUAGGAGACAAAUGUAAGGUCAAUCGCAUAGUAAUUGAUUUUUCAUUUAAAGGCUCUAGGACAUUAUUAUUUGCAUUCUUUUUAUAUGUCUUAAAUGAAAAAUAUUUUUAAAAUCUUAUGAAAAAGGUUUUUGUGGAGUAAUACAUAUAUUAAAUAUCUUGUGCAUAAUAGCCAUACCUUUUGCAAUUUGAUAUAUAUGUAUUUAAAAUUAUGGUUACACAUGGAUAUGUAUGAUAGUAGCUAGUUCUCUUUAAGUUGUUGCAUGUGCGGUUUUUGAGGUGUAAUUAUUUCAUGCAAUAAUUAUAUUAUAAGCAUGCUAGCCUUGGUAGGUGAUAUGUGCUUCAUGGAGAUCUAUAAAUAUCUAGCAGCUUUAUCUCUUGAUGAUUUGAUGGAUACGUAUUUCAAGGAAAAGCUAAUAUCAUUAUCUUGGACUCUUAAAGGUCUUGGAAAAAUAACUGACUGAUGUGCUUCUAUGUUAGACGUCACUUUUGAGUAAGGAGAUUAAGUCAAAGUUAUUUAUCUUUCAAGUCUUUUGAAUCUUUCCACUAACAAAAGUUUGUUUUCUUAAUGCGGAUAUACAUUAAAGAUGUGGACUUCAUCUAGCUUUUCUGUUGUGAAUAUUUCCGUUGGUUUUUUUUAUUAGAACUUAUCUUAUUAACGGUAAUAUAAUAUGGGUUAUAAAAUCAGUGUUCUCAAGCAUGGAAAAACAACUCACGAAUUUAUUAUUGCACUUAUUAUUGUUAUUGAGCAAAUUGAUUUACUGAGUGCAAUUCUUGAGAAGCUAAGCAAUUUAAUUUUUGGUAUUAUUUAAGGUGGUAUUCGGUAAGAAAUUAAUUGCUUAUUUAUUUUGUGCUAAUUGUUCAUUGCAUAUAGUUGAGCCUUUAAUUGUUAAAUUGAUUAUUCUUGCAUUGAUCAUAGACCUCUAUAAUUGUAUUGAAUUUUCUGUUUUAGACUAAGUGUAGUCUAAAGGUUUUAAUCCUAGUGGAUUAGAGAAAGAGUUACAAAUAGAUUCAAGGAAGCAAAAGUGCUUGAAGAGUGCAUAGGUGCACAAGGAGCAAGAGAGCUCAAGGGAAAUUAAUUGUUAAUUAAUUUUUGUUAGAAUCUGUUUUGUAAUCUGUAUUUAUUUAUAAAGAAAUAAAUAAAGUGAGUCUCCAAUACUAGUUGGUAUUGGACGUGGACUAGGCUAUUAUUAUAGAGGGUAAUAGCUGAACCACGUAAAAAAUCUUGGUGUUGAUUUUAUUAUUUGCUUUACUUUAAAAUCACAUAAGUUACUUAAUUAUCUUAAUUUGACUACUUGCAUUAUAUUAAGAUAAUUCUUUAACAUCAAGUAUUUUAUUUAAUAGGCUAUAUUAAUUCAGUAAGCUGAUUUCAAUCAUUAUAGUAGCCUGAAAUUAAUAGUUUAAUUUAAAGUUUAAAAAUUGGUCAUAGAUUGCUCCCACACUUAUUCAACCCCCCCUUCUAAGUGUGCCUAGAUAAAUUUCAUUUGGUAUCAGAGCUUGGCUCUACUUAUCUUGGUCUUAAAGGUGACUUGUAGGGAAAGAUUCUGACAUGGCACAGUUCGGGAACAACAAUCAAGAAGGUCAAUCAACCAAUAGACCUCCUUUGCUGUUUGGAACAGAAAAUUAUAACUUCUGGAAAUUCCGAAUGAGGAUCUAUCUUAAAAGAGAUCCUUGGGAAUGGUGGGUUGUGGAGAACGGACCAGUUAUUCCACGAAGAGAUGAUGGGACACCAAAGAUUCUACUAGAAAUGGAUUCAACCGAAAUCUACAUGGUCUCAUAUGAUUCAAAGGCAAUGAACACUCUUCUCAGCGGCAUGGUACAAUCCGAGAUAGACAAAGUUUCCUCAUGCAACACAGCUAAGGAAAUUUGGGAUACUCUUGUGGUAAGUCAUGAAGGUACUUCCAAGGUACGAGAAGUCAAGCUAAGCAUGCUUAUGCACGAUUAUGAAAUGUUCAAGCUCAAAAAAGAUGAAACCAUUAAGCUAGCUCAAGCAAGAUUUCUAGUUCUUAUAAAUUCCUUGAAAUUACUGGACAAGACUAUUCCUCAAAGUGAGAUCAACCGUAAGUUGCUUCGGGCUAUGCCCAAAAGUUUUUCUUCUAAAAUCACUACUCUUCAAGAUUCUGCAACUAUUUCUUCCAUGGAUACUUUAACUUUAUUUAGUGAAUUAGAAGAAUAUGAACAUCAGUUAAAGAGAUAUGAUGAUGAGGAGGAAACCCCUCGGAGAAAGGUUUUAGCUCUCAAUGCAGAUAACGAAGAGGAGCUCGAUGAUGACUCGGAUGAAGAAAUAGCAAUGAUGUCAAGAAGACUCAAAGGGCUACUACAAAGGAAGAAUAAGAGAAGAAAUACUUUCAACUCAAAUAAGGUCAAAGGAAAGCAAAUUGAAGAGACGUGCUUUGAAUGUGGACGUCCUGGUCACUUCAAGAAAGAUUGUUUUUAAUUGAAGAACAAAGGGAAGACAAACUACAAAGACAACAAGAAGAACAAAGCCCUUGUGACUUGGAGUGAUGAGGAAUCCGAAGUGGAGAUUGAUACUAAAGAUGAGAUUGCUCAAGUAUGCUUCGUGGGAAUUGAAGGUGAAUCUAAUCAGGUAUCUUUUAAUGAAAUGAACUCAUUAGAACAAGAAAAUAAGAAGUUAAAAGAAAAGAAUGCAUGCUUAAGAGAUUUAGUUAAUACUUUAAUGAAUGAAGUGGAUUCACUAAUAGAUGAAAAGAAAGAAAUUAAAAAGGAAUCAACUUGUAAAGAAGAAAAGGUUUUGAUUGCAAAGAUUGAUUAUUUAGAUAAUUAUAACAAAAUACUUUUUAACAAGGUAAAUUUCUUGAAUAGUGAAGUCCAAAAAUUGACUAAUGAGCUAAAAAUGAGAGAUGUGUGUAUUGAUGCAUUUAGUGAUAAAUCUCCUGUUAAAACCUUUCUUGAAAAUGAACUUCAAAAAGAAAUAGCUUCAUUAAAAUUAUCUCUUGCUAAAUUUGUCCAAGGUGAAGAAAAUUUGAAUGUCAUAUUAGGUAAACAAAGACCUAGUUUUGAAAGACAAGGAAUUGGUUAUGACCCUAUGCAUAAAAAGAGUAAUAUAAAAAUGCUAAAAUCAAAGUCACGAUUUAGUUUAAAUUAUUGCUCUCCUUUCACGACUUGUAAGCAUUCUGGUAUUAAAGGACAUUUAGAUAUAAAUUGUUUUAAGAAACGAAACAAGGUUAAAAAGGUAUGGAUUAAAAAGAAUGAUUUGCUUGCUACUAACAUAAGUGGACCCAAAAAGAUAUGGGUGCCAAAAGGAUAAAUUAUUCUUUCUUGACAGGUAUGCUUAAAGGCAAGAGUUUCAUCUCAAAAAUGGAUUCUUGAUAGCGGAUGUUCUCGGCACAUGACCAGUGAUAAAUCAAAAUUUGUAGAACUAAAUAUCAAGAAGAAGAAUGGAACGGUCACGUUUGGAGACAACAAAACCUGCGAAAUAAUUGGAAAAGGUAAAAUUAGUAAUGGCAAGGUAAGUAUAAAUAAUGUGCAUCUUGUUAAUGGCCUUGAAUUCAAUUUAAUUAGUAUUAGCCAAUUAAUGGAUAAUGGUCAUCAAGUUAACUUUGAAAAAGAUAAAUGCACAAUAUUUCAUGGUACUAACAAUACUACUCUAGUUGCACAAAGAGAAGGAAAUAUAUAUACUCUUGAUUUUGAGCAACAGGAUGAAGAACUAUGUCUUACUUCAGUACAAGAUGAAGCUUAUCUAUGGCAUAAAAGGAUGGGACAUGUUCACAUGGACUUAAUCAAGAAACUAUCCUCAAAGAAUCUCGUCAAAGGAUUGCCAAGAAUCAGGUUUGAAAAGAAAGGAAUAUGUAUUCCUUGUCAAUUGGGAAAACAAGUAAGAACUUCUUUUUCAGCAAAGAAUAUGGUAUCAACCUCUUCUCCUUUGCAACUACUUCAUCUUAAUUUAUUUGGACCUGAAAGGUAUUCAAGCAUUAAUGGUAAAUUCUAUGCUUUUGUAAUAGUUGAUGAUUUUUCAAGAUACACAUGGGUUUUAUUUUUGAGAACUAAGGAUGAAGCAUUUAAAGAAUUUGAAAAACUAAUAAGAAAUUUUGAAACAAAGUAUAUUUAUAAACUUAUUAGAAUUAGAAGUGAUCAUGGUACUGAGUUUCAAAAAGAUUUUAUAACCUUUUGUGAUCAAAGGGGUAUUAGCCAUGAAUUUUCAGUCCCAAGGACUCCUCAACAAAACGGAGUGGUGGAAAGAAAGAAUAGGACUCUACAAGAAACGGUGAGAACUACUGCAAGAAAGUAAGCUUCCAAAGAAAUUUUGGGCCGAAGCCGUAAGUACAUCAUGUUAUAUUUUAAAUAGAGUUCUUAUUCAUCCUAUCAUUUUGAAAACACCUUAUAAGCUUCUAAACAAUAAAAUUCCAAAUACAAGUUAUUUCAAAGUUUUUGGUUCGAAAUGUUUCAUCUUAAAUACAAGUGAUAAUUUGGGAAAAUUUGAUACUAAGUCAUACGAAGGAAUUUUUAUUGGUUAUUCUCAAAAUAGUAAGACUUAUCGUAUCUUUAAUAUUAGAAAGUCAUGUGUAGAAGAAUCUGCUCAUAUCACUUUCAAUGAGACUAACAAUGAUCUGCCAAAAGAAAGUGAAGAUGAUGCAGGAAAUUUAGAGAUAGUCAUCAUUCCAGAAAACCGAAAAGAACAAAACGGGAGACCAAAUGAGCAGUUUCAGGAAACUAAAAUGGACAACCAGCAGGAACGUGAACCUAAAAAUUUGCAGGAUGCUGAAGAUGAGUCUCAUGAUCAAGAGGAAGUGUUACAUGAUAUUCAAAUGCCAAAAACAGCUAGAUAUGUCAAGAAUCAUCCUCCAGAGAAUAUCAUUGGAGAUAUCAACAAAGGUGUAACCACACGAAGAGGUUUACAAAAUCAUUGUGCAUUCUCUGCAUUUUUGUCACAGGUUGAGCCAAAGAAUGCAAAAGAUGCAGUCCUUGAUGAAAAUUGGUUACUGGCAAUGCAAGAAGAACUUCAACAAUUUGAAAGAUGCCAAGUAUGGGAACUUAUGCCUCCUUUAAAAGAUGCCUCCAUCAUUGGUAUAAAAUGGGUAUUCAAAAACAAGCUUGAUGAUCACGGAAUAAUCACUCGAAACAAAUCAAGGCUAGUAGCCCAAGGGUAUAACCAAUAAGAGGGAAUCGACUAUGAAGAAACCUAUGCACCUGUGGCUAGGUUAGAAUCAAUCCAAAUUUUGUUACCAUUUGCGUGCUACAAAAAGUUUAAGCUGUAUCAAAUGGACGUAAAGAGUUCUUUCCUCAACGGAUACAUUAACGAAGAGGUCUAUGUGAAACAACCUCCUGGAUUCGAGCAUGAAAAGUAUCCUAAUCACGUCUACAAAUUAAAGAAAGCUCUUUAUGGUUUGAAACAAGCUCCAAGAGCGUGGUACGAAAGGUUAAGUAAAUAUCUCUUGUCAAAUGGAUUUAUUAGAGGAAAAAUAGAUUCUACAUUAUUUAUUAAGCAUAAAAAUAUAGAUAUCAUUAUUGUUCAAAUAUAUGUAGACGAUAUAAUUUUCGGUGCUACUAAUGAUCAUCUUUGUGAGUGGUUUUCCAAGUGCAUGAAUAAAGAAUUUGAUAUGAGCUUAAUGGGUGAACUCAACUACUUUUUGGGACUUCAAAUCAAGCAAACGAAGGACGAAAUUUACAUCCAUCUAACAAAAUAAACAAAAGAAUUACUCAAGCGAUUUGGCUUUGAAGGAUCUAACUCAAAAGGUACACCGAUGAGCACAUCAAUAAAGCUCACUACUUAUGAAAAAGGUAUUGAUGUUGAUAUAACAAAAUAUCAAGGUAUGAUUGGAUGUUUACUAAACUUAACUGCUUCUAGACCCGAUAUAAUGUAUAGUGUUUGUUUAUGUGCAAGAUUUCAGGCAAAACCCAAAGAAUCACAUUUAAAUGCUGUUAAAAGGAUUUUUAAAUAUUUAUGUGGUACAAUAAAUUUAGGGUUAUUUUAUCCAAUUUCCAAUCACUUUGAACUAAUAGGUUAUUCAGAUCCUGACUAUGUAGGAUGUCAAAUCGAUAGAAAAAGUAUGAGUGGUGCUUGUACUUUCUUGGGACAGAGUCUCGUGUCAUGGCAUAGUAAAAAGCAAACCUCAGUGGCUCUUUCAACUACUGAGGGUGAAUACCUAGCUGCAGGAAGUUGUUGUUCUCAGAUAUUAUGGAUGCUACAAACUCUAUGUGAUUUUGAUAUAUUAUGUGAUUGUGUGCCUAUUUAUUGCGAUAAUUCUAGUGCUAUAGAUAUAUCUAAAAAUCCUAUGUUACAUUCACGUACUAAGCAUAUAAAAGUUAGGCAUCAUUUUUUAAGAGACAAUGUUUCAAAAGGGUUAAUUAAAUUGAUUUUUAUUCCAACUGAAAAUCAAAUUGCAGAUAUUUUUACAAAAACUUUGAGUGAAGAUAGAUUUUGUAUGUUGCGAAGAGAACUUGGGAUGUGUCUUUCAUAAUUUGUUUAUCAAUAUGUGUUAUCCUAACUUGCAUGAAUAUCUUAUUAUUUAAUAAGGGUAAAUAUGGGUUUUCAAACUGUCAACCGUCUACUUAACUCCUUAAUUCAUGCACACAUUAAUCAAGGAGUCUAUCAUAAUUGGUUUUGAAAACUGAAAAGACCGAAUGGAAAUAGGAGUCUCGGGAGACGUAAGUAUGCGUGCGUGUGUUUUAUCUAUUAAAUAUUUUUGAAAACUGAAAAGACGGGUCUAUGAGGGUUUCUUGGGAGACGUUAGUAUACAUAUAUACCUCUGUGUUUAUUAUUAUACUCCAUAUCUUUCCAUUCUUCUCUAUAUUUUCUACUUCUAUUUUCUUUAUAUCUUAUAUCUUUUCUGAUUCUUUCUUACCUUAUAACCUUGUUCUUCCUCCACUCACCAUGAAAACUCGUACGCAUAAGAGGUCAUUGAUCGAUUCCGACGACGAUCAGGCGUCGGUUCCACCGCGGAUCAUCUCGCCAGAAAAAGAAACUGAAGAAAGUUGUAUCUUCAGAGACAGAGUACGUGGACUCUUCAUCUUCUGACGAGUCUACUUUCAAUCCAUCUCUGCCCAAAUCUACUGGACCCUCUCGGCGUCAUCAGUCUUUCAAGCCAGAAGUUACACCUCCUUCUAUUUCGAUAAACCCUAACUUGUCUUCUGAUCUGCCUGAAAAUUAUUUUCGAAGUAAUGCAUACGAGGUACGAUUUAAAAUAGUCAUUUUUCCUAAACAAUUUAUUUAUGAAAAAUCUGUUGAUCAGAUCUGUUUUUAGCAAUCUCCUCUCAAACUGUUAUUUGAAACAUGUGGUUUUUCUUCAAUGCUUUUUCCUCCUUCUGUGGCUUAUCCUAGACUUGUCCAACAAUUUUACACAAAUCUAGAAUAUAAUGGUGAUUUUUAUACUACUUUUGUCAAAGGCAAAUCAUUAUAUUUCUCUGUUGUGGAUUUUGGUAGUAUUUUGAAAAUUCCAUCUUCUGGUGUGUGUCCUUUUACAAAGAAAGGUGCUGUUCAUUUUCCUUUCACUCCUCUGGAACAAUUACAAUUUGUGAUGAACAACAAUUCAUUGACUGAUGUUUUCACUCCUAAGACUGUUGAUGUCUCUCCUGUCUCUUGCGUCCUCCAUCAUCUUGUUAGAUACAAUCUGUUGCCUCGGUUAGGUGGAGGAGCAGAUUUUAUAUAUCAGAAUUUGAUUAUUGUUGCUCUGAUUUUAAGAGGUGUGUCUUUUAAUUUGUCUCAACUCAUGCUUCAUCAUAUGACCACAUGUUUGCGAAAAAUCAAGACGUGUUUGCCUUACAGUGUUACUCUCACUACUUUGUUUAAACAUUUUAAAAUUUCUUUUGAAGAUGAAAAUUCUGUUUCGGUUACCGAUUUUAUCAGUGUCAGUUCCCUGAAAAUGUCUCGUAUAAAUUUACUUGAUGGUAUGUUUGUUCGUGUACCUUCUGAAACUCCUGCUCCUCCGGUCUCCAUUCCAUCCUCUCCUGUCCAGCCUCAUAGUCAAUCUUCUCCUGAAAUUAUGGACAUGUUGAAAGUUAUUUUGUGUAAUCAAGAAAAGAUGCAACUUGAGAUGACUGCUCUUCAUAAUAGAAUGUCUGUGUUGGGAAAAGGUAAGUUCCCAUUGGGUGCACCUAAAAUCAAUAAACUCUAUCAUAACAUUGAAGAUGAGUUUAUUGAUUUGCAAGCUGGUUUUGAGGUAUAAACAACUGCCUUAGCUGAGUUGAUGCAACGACGUCUCAAUCGAAAUUCUUGUCAGUUGAGUCAGGAGCUUAAGUUUGUUAGUAAUCAAAUAAGGGAGUUGGCUGAAUUCAUUUCUGUUCGUUUCAAUGAUGUGGGCGCUAAACUCCACAUGCAGCAUAAGCAUUCAACGGUUCUGGAGUGGGUGCACUGCAAUUGGUUGGCCGAGUAUCAAGGAGAGUUUCUGGAUGUCCCUCUUCCCCCUGCCACUAUCAUUCCGAGGCCUCCACAAUUUGCUGCUGGUUUGAGCGUUGCUGAGAAGGUACACCGAGCCAAUCACCGCCCAUAUUUCACUCAGCGUGCAGCUCAGCAUGUGGCAGUGGUAGAGCUCGACGAAUGAAUUGCUUCCUUUUUGUUUGAUGACAAAGGGGGAGAUUAUUUUGGGUUAUUUAUGGACGAAUUUUAAAAACUUUAAAAUUUUAUGUUUGUUUUGGUUUGGUGUGAAUCACCAAAAGACUUAUGUUUAAUUUGGGAUUUUAAAUAUUUGAUAAAUUUGCAGUAGAUAUUUUGAUGUUUGAUGGACUAACAAUUACUGCAUGUAACAAAUUUACUGAAAAUUGAUUUUCAGUAUCCUGAAAUACUUUUAUUGCAUGGAUUUAAGGGGAGCUACUUAUGUUAUGCAUAUAUUCAGGGGGAGUUAAUAGGAAUUAAACAAUUUUGGGUUGUCAUCAUCAAAAAGGGGGAGAAUGUUGACUUUGUCAUAUUCAAUCCUUAAGUUUUGAUGAUGAAAUGUUCAAGUACUAAAUUGUUUUAUGGUGUUUCGGGUAUUUGUUGAUAAAAGAAUGUUGGUGAGAUUUUCAAGUGAAGGAAGCAAGUGUUUCUUAUUUCUAGGAGACAAAUGUAAGGUCAAUCGAAUAGUAAUUGAUUUUUCAUUUAAAGGCUCUAGGACAUUAUUAUUUGCAUUCUUUUUAUAUGUCUUAAAUGAAAAAUGUUUUUAAAAUCUUAUGAAAAAGGUUUUUGUGGAGUAAUACAUAUAUGAAAUAUCUUGUGCAUAAUAGCCAUACCUUUUGCAAUUUGAUAUAUAUGUAUUUAAAAUUAUGGUUACACGUGGAUAUGUAUGAUAGUAGCUAGUUCUCUUUAAGUUGUUGCAUGUGCGGUUUUUGAGGUGUAAUUAUUUCAUGCAUUAAUUAUAUUAUAAGCAUGCUAGCCUUGGUAGGUGAUAUGUCCUUCAUGGAGAUCUAUAAAUAUCUAGCAGCUUUAUCUCUUGAUGAUUUGAUGGAUACGUAUUUCAAGGAAAAGCUACUAUCAUUAUCUUGGACUCUUAAAGGUCUUGGAAAAAUAACUAACUGAUGUGCUUCUAUGUUAGACGUCACUUUUGAGUAAGGAGAUUAAGUCAAAGUUAUUUAUCUUUCAAGUCUUUUGAAUCUUUCCACUAACAAAAGUUUGUUUUCUUAAUGUGGAUAUACAUUAAAGAUGUGGACUUCAUCUAGCUUUUCUGUUGUGAAUAUUUCCGUUGGUUUUUUUUUUAUUAGAACUUAUCUUAUUAACGGUAAUAUAAUAUGGGUUAUAAAAUCAGUGUUCUCAAGCAUGGAAAAACAACUCACGAAUUUAUUAUUGCACUUAUUAUUGUUAUUGAGCAAAUUGAUUUAUUGAGUCCAAUUCUUGAGAAGCUAAGCAGUUUAAUUUUUGGUAUUAUUUAAGGUGGUAUUCGGUAAGAAAUUAAUUGCUUAUUUAUUUUGUUCUAAUUGAUCAUUGCAUAUAGUUGAGCCUUUAAUUGUUAAAUUGAUUAUUCUUGCAUUGAUCAUAGACCUCUAUAAUUGUAUUGAAUUUUCUGUUUUAGACUAAGUGUAGUCUAAAGGUUUUAAUCCUAGUGGAUUAGAGAAAGAGUUACAAACAGGUUCAAGGAAGCAAAGGUAUUUGAAGAGUGCAUAGGUGCACAAGGAGCAAGAGAGCUCAAGGGAAAUUAAUUGUUAAUUAAUUUUGUUGGAAUCUGUUUUGUAAUCUGUAUUUAUUUAUAAAAAAAUAAAUAAAGUGAGUCUCCAAUACUAGUUGGUAUUGGACGUGGACUAGGCUAUUAUUAUAGAGGGUAAUAGCUGAACCACGUAAAAAAUCUUGGUGUUGAUUUUAUUAUUUGCUUUACUUUAAAAUCACAUAAGCAAUUUUAAUUAUCUUAAUAAUUAAAAUUUGAAUACUUGCAUUAUAUUAAGAUAAUUCUUUAACAUCAAGUAUUUUAUUUAAGAUAUAAAUUUAGCAAGAUAUUUUCUAAAUAGGCUAUAUUAAUUCAGUAAGCUGAUUUCAAUCAUUAUAGUAGCCUGAAAUUAAUAGUUUAAUUUAAAGUUUAAAAAUUGGUCAUAGAUUGCUCCUACACUUAUUCAACCCCCCUUCUAAGUGUGCCUAGAUAAAUUUCACCUAGUUGGAAUUUAAAUGGAGUUUUAGAUGAGAGAUAGAAGAGGAAGAGAGAUCAGAAAUUAAGAAAUGGAAGAGAGAGAAAAAGGAAAAGCUAAACUAUGAUAUCCCGAAUAUUAACAAUAUUCCUUUUAAGGGAAAUAUUAAAAGAUUAAAUAAGGGUUAGAUAUUAAAACCUAGUUUAUUAAAGAAAAUGUGUAAAAAUAAGAUUAAAUUUUUUUUAUCUAUGUGCUAUAAAGAGCCAAUAGAGUAUAAAAUGAUUGUGAAGAAAGACUUUUAAGAUAAAAGGCUCUAACUAAGAAUGUUACGAGACAUUAUGAAUAUUACUUAUUCAUAAUGAAAAGAAAGUAAUAUGCGGAGUUAAAUAAAUUUUAUGAGAUGUAGUAAGUAAAUGUAUUAUUAAAUUUAUACUUUUAUUAUUCAAAAUGAAAAGGAAAACCAACAAGGCUUAAUUGGAAAAUAUUCUUGACAUAAAUCUACCUAUGAGAUCAAUGUAAUAAUUAUAUUAUAAAAUAGUUAAUUUCAUCAAAAAGUAUUAUUUAGUGACAAAUAAGGAAAUUGGUGUGCUACCAUUGGUAUUUAUAGAGCCAUCAUGAUGUAUGUGCUAAUUAUUUUUGUCAAGCCUAAAUAAAUAUGGUAGAUAAAAUUCAUAUAUAUGGAUAUGUAAUGAGAGUCCAUAUUAAGUUAUUGGGCCAUUUUAAUGCCACUACGUAUGCUUACAAGCCUUCUCUAUUAUUUUCUAGAGUAUGAGUUAUUGCUUAUGCGAUAAGUGCCUUGAGCCUAAACCAAAAUCAAUGCCCAACCUUUUUGGUGUCCUCAUCCGAAAGCCACAUGAAAUGAAAAAUAGAGCUGUUUUAGUCUAAUAAAAUUGAGCAGUUAGUUGGCUUUAGUAGUCAUUAAGUUAGCAAUUGGUUAGUAAGUUAGAAUUGGCUAGUAGGUAGUUAGAGGCAUAAGGUGGCUGUGAUGAUAUGGCUACUCUUAGGGGCUAAGUAGACUGCUAGCCUUUGAUGGUUAUCAGCUGAGCUGUGAGGAGGCUGCUAGGAGGCUAAUUAGGGGCUAUGGUAGAGGCCAAUGUAGGGGCCGGGUAGAGGCUAAACAAAGUAGCUAUGUAUAAGUGAUGAUGGAGAGCAGUAAUAAGCCAAGUAGGUUGAUUGAAAAAGAGAGAAAACUCAACCAUCUAUGGACAUACAAUACACCUGAGAUCAGUUAGCUUCUAUACUUAUCUGAGUUCCAAAAGCAAUAUCAAUAGUAGUCCAUUAGAUUGAGAGAGUAACAAAACUAUGGCUGGAAGGGAAUGAAGGAUUGAGCAGCAAAGCUACUUUAAUCUCUAGAAGUUAGCAAGCUUAAACUCUUUCCAUUCCUUUUCUAUUUUAUAUUUGAUAGUAGAAUGGACUGUUAGUGGCUAUAGUAUUAAAUAAGACCAUGGUGGUUAUUAUGAUAAUAUUAGUGCUUUGUGUUGUUGUUGAGGAAUUAUAUGAAGACCCUUAAUAAAUCAAAAGUUAAAAGGCUUGGGAAAAUGGACAAGAAAUUAGUUGUUCCAUAUAAAUAAAAAUUAUUCUCACCAACUGUUUGAUUAAAUGUCCUACUAGGGACUGUUAAAGUAUAAAAGCAUGAUAGCUAUGAAUUAGAGUCCAAAAUUAUAUCUAGUAGCUUAUAUAGUAAAACUAAUGCUUCAAGUAUGUUUCUAUGCUUAAGUAUAACAUGUUUUAAAGCAAAUUACAAACCAUGAUAGCUUUUUUUAGGAGAAAAAAAAAGUUAUUUUGACUGUUAUUGGAAGCUUGUUUUAUAACUGUUAUGCCAUUUUUUUAGUGUUGACUUUAUGCUAUAAUAAGGUGUCUUUCAUACAAAACCAUGAAGGCUAAUAGUUACGAAGUUAAAGUGAUAUUUCCAGCCAAGAAAGGAUCAAAACAGGACAGUUUGGGCCUGUUUAAAAUAGGCCAGACCAAGCCACUAUUUUGAGAACUAGUAUGCUAGCUAAAUAACUUAUUUAUAGACUGUUAUGGCUAAAUAUUUGAGCCAUCCGGAUAAAGAGGUUCAUGUUGUAUUCUAUGAAUAAAGUCAGUCCAUGCUUAUAUAUAUGUUAUGUUAUCCUUUGUUAAGCAUGUUGCUAGCUCAUGUUUUCUUGUGGAACUUAAAGCCUAUAAAGGGCUAUUUUGAACAAGAGCAUAAGGCCUUACAUAUAUGUGUUUUAAACCAUGAACAUAUAGUAUAUAGUAGGUUCAUGUUGUGAUAAUGCAUAUACUUCAAUACUUGAGACUGUUUUGGUGAAAGGGUGUUAACUCAUGCUUAAUAUGCCUAGAAAAAGGAUUGUUUUAGUGUUAGAAAUUGAACUAACAUUUACAAGCAUGCUAAUGUAUAUGGUUUUAAGUUUUAAUGAUGAUUUAAAGUUUGUAUGAGGGCUUAAAGGUCCCUUGAGUCCUAGGAUGGGGAUUGUUUGUGUGUAAUAGCCAAAAUUGUGCUUAAAAUCUAGAUUUGAGAACUGUUUUGGUCAAGGUCAGUACCUAAACUUUUGAGUCAAUAAGGAGACCAUAAUAUUUCCAUAAAUAAAAUUUAAAAGUUGUUCCUUAACUUAGUUGAGGUCCAUAUUGAGUACUACUCAGUUUUCAUGUUUAAAGUUGUAAAACCCCAACUUUUGAUAAAUAAAAUUAAAUUUCCUCUAUUAAUUAUUCUGAAAUAGUAAGGGGUGGGUUUGGUUAAUGUGGUUAGUUAUGGGCAAAAUGUGCAAAUUUUUUGAAAUAACCAAGUGGUUAUAAAAUAUUCAUUGUUGUCGGGGAAUAUUCGUUUGGUCGUGGAAUAUUCUUAUUGUCAGGGAAUAUUCAUACGACGGCGCAGCCAUUUGUGGGGCGUGGACCCCAUAACAGAAAAUGAUCGGAUGAAAAAAAUGACAAGUUUGAGUUUUUAUAAAUGAUGGCGUAGUUGUUACCGUUAACACUGUUGGAAUAUCUGAUGGUUAAAAUACAGUAAUACGCGUGGUUGCACAGUAGCACACGGUAUUGCACAGUAUUCUAGAAUUAUUGAUUCUUACGUAAGAAUGUACUACUCAAUAAUUGUUAUAGUAAUUACUGUUCAAUAUUUUAUUUUAUUGAUUCAAUAAUUGCUACGUUGAUAUUUUAUAUUAUUGAUUCAAUAAUUGUCACUACACAAUAUUUUCCAUUAUCAGAUCAAUAAUUCAUAUUAUUUGAAUAAUAUUAUUAGAUAGCAUUAUUGAAAAUGUCUAAGGAAUUUCUGUCUAGGAAAGGGGUUUGGUCACCUAAUUGCACGUCAGUAAGAAGAAAUCCUUAUCGAAAAGCCCCCUCUUUCUUGGGAACGACUUGGUUGUCAAUAUUAUAGUUCUGUAAUAUUAUUUGUGAAUAAUUAAUUGUUGAUAUAUAUGAAAAGAAAAUAUAUAUUCAAUGUAGAUAUAAACGGAGGAAUUUUUAGCAUGUCACAUUUGUUAAAGUCGGUAUUUUUUAUCUUUUUUGAUAAAUAAUUCAUUCAAAUAUAUUAUUAUAAUAUUACAUUAUAGUAGUAUGAUGUGAUUAUAUAAUAGUAUGAUUUUUAUAAUUUGAGUGGUAACAUUAUUAUAGUAAAUUCAUGGUAUAAAGUAAAAUGAGGUGGAAGAGAACAAAUUGAAUUUGAAUUCGUACGAUAUAAGCAAUGAUGUCAUCGGAGCGAUGAGGUAUGCAAUGAUGUCAUCGGAACGAUGAGGUAGCGAUGAUGUCAUAGAUUAUGGUAAAAAGACUAUUUUACCCUUACUCUGCCAAGCCUAUAAAUAGAAGCUCAUUUCUUCAUUAUUUUUCACCAAUUCACUAAAGCUAUAGAGAAAGAGAAAGUAUAUAGAGAAUAAGAGAGAAAGAAGAAGCUUAUCCUGCUAUUACACUAGUGCAGUCUCUGAAUUUUUAUUAACGUAAGGGGUAUUAUUUUUUUCGUAUUCAUGAAGAGAGUUAUUUCUUUCAAUACUCGUAAGGGUUGUUAUUCCAUUCUUUAUUAUUCUGUUGGAAUAACCUGUCUCCGCGGACUACCGCAUGCAUUGUGACGCCCCCAAAACAGGUAUACAUCACCCAUCUUAAGUCGCCAAAUACAUGGUACAGAAUACAAAUACAAACUUAAUUAUACAAACGUCGUGUAAUAUACGACAAAACAUAGCUGAGAGUUUAAACAGGAAUAUUGCCUUCUAGACAAUAUCCACUCUCAAAUAGAGUCCUCAUUACAUUUAUUGUUACACUAUUUUAUAGAAUAGUGAGGACUACUAUAACACCAUCUCGGACCAUCACUCCGUUCCCCGACUAGUCCCGGUUACGUUCUCAUUUUCUGAAGAGAACAAUGAAAGCAAAAGGAUGAGCUCAACUAGCCCAGUAAGAAAUAUUAUGACUAAGAUAAUGCAAGAUAAAUUACCAUUAGCCUUCAAAAAUGUUAAACUGAUAAAAUACAAUAGACAUCAAGUUUAACUGCAGCGGAAAAAGCAAUCCACUAGAAGAGUCAAGUAGAGCAUAAUAUCUACUAUCUUCUAUGAUUUAAAAUGUUUUCAUCAAUUUUUAUCGCUGAGACUCAGCUUAAUAAAUAAACCACAUCAUCGAGUCAUCCCUGCACUACAGGCCAAGGAUAUUCAUUAAAUCAUCAAUGGUCAUGACUAUACCGAAUAAUCCCUGGUCAUAAUCAUACCAAAAAUUGUCCAUCAAUGCACUACAGGCCACUAAGGACUUUUACCACAUCAUUUAUAACAUUAUAGGUCCUGAUUAUAUAGAAUGAUCCCUGAACAUAAUCAUACCAAUUCCAUCUAUGCACGUAAGCCAAAGAUGACUUUCAUCACAAUAUAAGCAUGAGGAUGAUGACAAUGACAUAAUAAUUCAAUAAAACAAGUUCAAGAAUAAAUUUUAAAGAUUUAUAAGUUAAUUUAUCCUGAAAUCAAUUACGUCCAAAUUGUCAACAUGAUACUGCUUUGUGGAGUAAAAUUCAAGAAUGCUCAGAAGAAUAUUUCCAUGAAAAGAUACUGGAUGAAGCGCAAAUAUCCAGGAUAUUCUACUAAUUUCAUGGAGUAUAGAAGCCAAAACUUUAACCAACUGAGUAUAAUAGAAUAUAUGAAACUGCAAAUGGAUUUUCGCCCGCCAUGCGGUAAUCCACGUAGACAGAUCAUUUCCACAAUUUAAUAAGGAAUGAAUACGAAGGAUCAUUCACCAUGCAUGUGGUAAUCCACAUAGACAGGUUAUUCCAACAGAAUAAUAAAGAAUGGAAUAACAAAAGAAUUCACCAGGCAUGCGAUAGACCGCACAGACAGGUUAUUCCAACAAAAUAAUAAAAAAUAGAACCAGGUCAUGCGUAAUUCGCACAGACAGGAUAUUCCAAGAGAAUAGUAAAGAAUGGAACCACGUCAUGCGUAAUCCGCACAGACAGGAUGUUCCAAUAGAAUAAUAAGGAAUGAAAUAACAACAGAAUUCACCAGGCAUGCGAUAGACAGCACAGACAGGUUAUUCCAAUAGAAUAAUAAAAAAUGGAACCAGAUCAUGCGUAAUCCGCACAGACAGGAUAUUCCAACAGAAUAAUAAAGAAUGGAAUAACAACAGAAUUCACCAGGCAUGUGAUAGACCGCACAGACAGGUUAUUCCAACAGAAUAAUAAAGAAUAGAAUAACGGAAGAAUUUCACCAUGUAUGCGGUACUUCGCAUAGACAGGUUAUUCCAAUAUAAUAAUAAAGAAUGGAAUAACAACCCUUACGAGUAUUGAAAGAAAAUAACUCUCUUCAUGAAUACGAAAGAAUAAUACCCCUUACCUUAGAAAGAAGAUAUUCCAAUGGGUAGGGUGAGGAUAUUCUUGACGAAAACUUAUACUGUUUUCUACGCUCAAAGCUUCUUAAAACUCUAAAGAAAUACGCUCAAGAUUAUAGAAGAAGAAUUCUCUGAAUUUCUGGUGUGUUUUCAAUUCUAACUAAGCAUCCUAUUUAUAGGAGAAUAGAAAGGAUACUAUGCAAUAAAAUAUAAUAUAUUCUAUUUAUAAUAUAUAUAUAUAUAUAUAUAUAUAUAUUUAUAUAUAUAUAUAUAUAUUAUUUUAAAUCUAAUAAAAUGAAUAACUUUAUAAAAGUAUUCUGUUUUAUAUAAAAAUAUUUUACUAUGCAAACACUAUGCAGACACUAUGCAUAAUAAAAUAUAUUAUAUUCUAUUUAUAGUAAAAUAAAACAAAACUUUAUAAAAAAUAUUCUGUUUUAUAUUAAAAGUUUUCUGUUUUAUUACAUUUAUAAUAAUAAUAAAAUAAGGGGGGUGUAUUCAAUUAGGAUUUUUAAAGACUUUAAAAGACUUUAAAAGUUUGGGUGUAUUCAAUCAAGACAUUUAAAGAGUUUAUAAAAGUUUAGUGGUAUUCAAUUACAACUUUUUUAAUGUCUUUAAAAGUUAGGUGGUAUUGAAUUAAGAUUUUUUCAAAGUCUAUAAAAGUAUUUUGGUAUUCAAAAAGUCAUAGACUUUUCAGAUUUCUAUUAAAUGGUAGACUUUGACAGACUUUAGAAGAAGAAUUAUAACUAUCAACCCAUAUCCAAAGUCUAACCUCAUCUCUAAAGAUUUCUAAAGACUUUCAAAUAAACACAAAGGUGGAUAAAACUAGUUAUUAAUUGGAUUUUGUCUUUUAUUGAGUCAAACUAAUUAUUUAUUUUAUAUGUGCAUAGGUUUGUUCAAAUAGUAGUAUCAUUAUGAUGAUAAGAAAAUAAUAUACCAUAUUAUAAAAUUGUCAACAUUUUGAUAGUCAAUUACAUUGUUCAUUUACAAAGUUUCUGGCGUCAUCAAGGUUCAUCAUGCAAUUGACAUUUUCCUACAUCACGUCAUUCGCUUGUGCAUGAAAUUGCACCAGUCACUUGAGAAACGUCAGCCCUAAAUGAUUACUACUCUAAAGUCUAGUUCACUGGUGCCUUCCAAAUUCAAAUUCCUUUUUUAUUUGGUUAUAACAAGGAGAUUUUCACCAUUGAAAAAAAAUGGAAUAGAUGUUUCCACAUGCACAACGGCUUUAGAAAAUCCUCAGAAAAGAAACUCACAAGAUUCUCACUUUUGUUAAAGCUAAACAAUUGUAUUAAAUAUAUGAACCUAUUAAACCAUAAAUAAACUACACCUUAAAAAUGAUUCAGUUUUGAUGUUUAGACAAGUGAAACACUAAGAAUGAGAUAUACUCGGUUGUUUCUGAUAAAAAGAAUAAGAAUAAAAAAUAGUUUGAGCAUAAAUACAUAAUUAAAGUAUCCAACAGUUUGAGAAUAAGAAUAUGAGCUUAAUUUUUGUAUUGCGUCUGUAAUUUCUAAAGUUUUAUUGGUAUCCGAGUAUCCAAAUGUAUUAUGAAAUGAGUAGAAUAAUAUGAACGCUUUCAACAUAUAUAAAAUCUCAUGCCACAAUAAUAUAAUGAGAUUUACUCUAGUUCAUGAAAAAAGAGAGAGAUGUUGUACACAUGGGCUAAUUAACAAUUAAUAUAAAUUACAAGAUAUAUUGAAGUAUACAAAAGUCUAUCACAGUCUUAAUAAAAAGUUUAUAAAAGUCUGUUACUUAUUUCAUAGAGUCUAUAAAAGUCAUUUUAAAAGAGUCUUUAAAGUCUUUGAAAGUCAUUAAAAUCCCACAAAUUCUACAAAAGUAUGUCACUUAAAAAAAGUCAUUAAAAAUCUUAAUUGAAUACACCCCCCUAAAACUCAUCAUCAUUAUUAUAAUUCACACUAUUAAUCGACCAAGUCAUUCUCAGGAAAGAGGGGGCUUUCCAAUAAGGAUUUCUCCCUAUUGGCGCGCAAUUAGGUGACCAAACCUCUCCUUGACAGAACUUCUAGACAUCGUUAAUAUUGCAAAUAAUAAUAUUAAUAACUUUGUUAUCUCAAUUAUUGAUUUAAUAAUAUAUAAAAUAUCGACAAUAAUUGAAUCAAAUAACGUGAGAUACUAUGCAACAAUUACUGUAGCAAUAAUUGAAUAAAACUUAGUGACUUCUCACGUAAGCAUCAAUAAUCAAUACUGUGUGCUACUAUGCAAGCACGCGUAUUACUGUACUUUUAACGCCGGGUGUUUCAACAGUUAACGGUAAAAUUUCCGCCGUUAUUUUCAUAAAAAUAUUUUUGUCAUUUUCUCAAUCCGAUAAUAAUUCCGUUGUGGGGUCCACCAAUGAUUGUGCUGUCGUACGAAUUUAAAAUGAAUAUUCCCCGACCAAUCGAAUAUUAUAUAACAACUUGCGUACUUUGUAAAAUUUAUAAAUAUUACCCACAACUAUAACAUUAUAUCAAAUCCACACCAUAAUAUUCAAAAAAAAUAUUUCGAGAAAUUUAAAUCUUUAUUCAUAAAAUUUGGGGUCUCACAAUCUCUCCUCCUUAUGAAAUUUCACCCUCGAAAUUUACUUAUGUUCCUGGUAUGCCGAAGAAAUGAGGAUACCUUAACUUUAUUUCAGAUUCUAACUCUUGAGGUAUAACCUUUGAGUGUUAAAUACGAUCCUUCUUAUCUAAGAUUUUAACACGUAUCUCCUCAUACGUUAAAUCUUCUGCUAUCUCAUCUAGUUUUAAUUCAAUAAUGUGGUUCGAGUCGUCCACAUAUUUACGUAACAUCGAUACGUGAAAAACGUUAUGAACACACGACAAACUUGGCGGUAAAGCGAGUCUAUAGGCCACAGUUCCUACUUGAUCGAGAAUUUCAAAUGGGCCAAUUAAAUCGAGGGUUGAGAUUUCCUUUCUUCAUCGAUUCUUGCUUCUAGAAUAACGCCCUCUUGAACCUUCUUCUUCACAUUCAUUAGCUCUGAGUUUGUAGCUUGAGCGGCUUUAACUUUAUCGAUUAAAGUCGAUUCUACUCGUAUAUUCGCUAUCUUCACAUGGGUCUCUAGAGUCUUUAACUCUAUCUUCAUUAUUUGUAAGUUAUACGAAAUGGGUUUUUGUGUUAACAACAUCGCACUCGUAAACGCAUACGAUCUUCUACUCAACGCGUCAGCUACUACGUUCGCUCUUCUAUAAUGAUAUUGAAUGGUAUAGUCGUAAUCUUCAACAGCUCGAGCCAACGUCUUUGGCGCAUUAUACGUUCGUUCUAGGUGAAGAAAUAUUUAAGGGUUUUAGAAAUGGGUUUUGUACUGAGGUCAAUACAAAAUUCGAUUUCACGCUCUAGGGGUAGGCUAAGAAGUCUUUAAGAAUACGUCAGGAAAUUUAUUAACAAUAGAAAUGUCAUUCAAAACUGUGACUCUCAUCCAAGACUUGGAUAGUAUGUCACAUCGAUACCUAUCAACUUGCCAUCGUCAUUCACGACGUCGCCUACAGAAAGUCUGGCUUCAGUGCAUUACACAAAAAGAAGUCAACAACGAAAGGAUCGGGGCUCUUUACUUAUGGCUUGAUAUAACAGUGAUUAACUUUAGUGGUUUGGUUGCUUGAAUUCGCAUAACAGGUUAGUUAGGAAUAUGAAAUCUAACAACCUUACGAAAAUCAUGAUGAGUAGUUAACCAAUCGAUUCCUAAAAUUACAUCAAAGGCAAGUAUUUUCAAAGAGAUAAGAUCGACAGGUAACAUGAAAGUGUCAAUUUGAAUCAGCAAGAUUUAUAAACAGUGGAGGUAACGAAGGUUUCUCCUAACCGAGUUUCAACCAAUAAGUCAAAGUCUAAUUUCUCUGGGGUCAAAUUUAAACGUUGAGAGCAAGCAAGAGAGAUAAAAGAAUUGUUAGAACCGGUAUCUAAUAAGGUAUAGACUUCUCAAAAAUUUAUAAUUAACUAACCCGUGCUAACUUCGUUUGGGUUACUCAUUUUUUGAGAAGUCACGAAAAACGCUCUUCCUGAAAGCACCGACUUUGUUUUGUCUGUAUCCGCCUUUGGUGCCACCAUCCCAGCUGGACUUGAUUUUAGUGCAUGACAAAAUCGGGCUAGGUGACCUUCUCUUCCACAAUUGAAACACGCUUUGGACUGCUGCAUACAGUUUGGACUGAUGUGUCCUUCCCUUCCACAUUUGUAACAUACGACCAGUGGUCGUUCUCCUUCCUUAACAACAGGUGUUGAUGCUGAUGUCUUUCCAUCAUUGUUGAAUCUCCUUUUCUUGAAAUGUCCAUUCUUAUUAUUUUGGCCAUGAUUACCCUUGAAGUGAUUGCCAUUUCUGGCAUGUUAAUUCCCUCCAUGCUUAUUGUCACCGCUUCGAUGACUGCUAUCACUGGUAUUAUCAUUUUGCCGGCUGCUCUCUUUUGGUUAGGUUGAUUCAUUAUCAUGCUCCAAUAACUGAGCCUUAUUAACAACAUCUGAAUACAAACACAGUUUAUGAGAGAUAAGAUAUUGACGUAUCUUGGGUUUCAAACCUCUUAGAAACAUUCGCGUCAUUCUCUCCUCAUUAUCAACCAAGUGGGACGCAAACCGAGAUAACUCGACAAACUUAGCUUCAUAUUGUGCCACGGUCAUAUUAAUUUGCUCAAGCUUGAUGAACUCUACCUCCUUCAUGUGACGAAUACUUUCAGGAAAGUACUUGUCGUUGAACAGUUCUUGGAACUUCUCCCAAGACAUCUUCAGUGCGGCAAGUUGAGUACGCUUUACAGAUUCCCACCAGUAAUCUGCCUCUGCUCGCAACAUGUAGGUGGAAAAGGGAACCUUUUGCUCCUUGGAGCAUCCCAAGACAUCAAAUAUCUUGUUGAUCUGCUUUAUCCACGUCUCUGCUUUAAGUGGUUUUGGCUCUCCAAAAAACUCCGGUGGUCCCAACUCCUUGAACUGCUUAGCGGUGACCGUUCAAGAGUUAUUAGUGUUUCCACCUGCAUUUUAGACAGGAGCCGCCUUCGCCUGAUGUUGCAUGAAUUGGAUAAAACCUCUAAACAUCCCAUCAUUCAUCAUUUGAUCAUUGUUGUUUACUUGAGGAUUAUUGUCUUCCUGUUGUACAUUAUCCUGGGUAUUAAUCUGUGGUGACUCAACGGUCUCAUGUGCUUCAUUGCUUAUCUCAACAUUUUUGGAUGUCAUUUUCAAAUACUGCCACAAAACAAAGGUUAAUUAACAUAUCACAUAUUAUCCCUAUACUUUGACCGACCAAUUAAUUACCAAAUAAACUUAGGUAGGUCAUACUAGCGAAGGAAUUUCCCGUCUCUCCCCUCCUAGUUCUUGUCUCAUGUCUCAGCCAGGGAUCAUAUCCCUAAGCUUUUAUACCAACUGUGACGCCCCCAAAACAGGUAUACAUCACCCAUCUUGAGUCGCCAAAUACAUGGUACAGAAUACAAAUAUAAACUUAAUUCUACAAAUGUCGUGUAAUAUACGACAAAACAUAGCUGAGAGUUUAAACAGAAAUAUUGCCUUCUAGACAAUAUCCACUCUCAAAUAGAGUCUUCAUUACAUUUAUUGUUACACUAUUUUAUAGAAUAAUGAGGACUACUAUAACACCAUCUCGGACCAUCACUCCGUUCCCCGACUAGACCCGACUACGUUCUCAUUUCCUGAAGAGAACAAUGAAAGCAAAAGGGUGAGCUCAACUAGCCCAGUAAGAAAUAUUAUGACUAAGAUAAUGCAAGAUAAAUUAUCAUUAGCCUUCAAAAAUGUUAAACUGAUAAAAUACAAUAGACAUCAAGUUUAACUGCAGCGGAAAAAGCAAUCCACUAAAAGAGUCAAGUAGAGCAUAAUAUCUACUAUCUUCUAUGAUUUAAAAUGUUUUCAUCAAUUUUUAUCACUGAGACUCAGCUUAAUAAAUAAACCACAUCAUCGAGUCAUCCCUGCACUACAGGCCAAGGAUAUUCAUUAAAUCAUCAAUGGUCAUGACUAUACCGAAUAAUCCCUGGUCAUAAUCAUACCAAAAACUGUCCAUCAAUGCACUACAGGCCACUGAGGACUUUUACCACAUCAUUUAUAACAUUACAGGUCAUGAUUAUACCGAAUGAUCCCUGGUCAUAAUCAUACCAAGUCCAUCUAUGCACGUAAGCCAAAGAUGACUUUCAUCACAAUAUAAGCAUGAGGAUGAUGACAAUGACAUAAUAAUUCAAUAAAACAAGUUCAAGAAUAAAUUUUAAAGAAUUAUAAGUUAAUUUAUCCUGAAAUCAAUUACGUCCGAAUUGUCAACAUGAUACUGCUUUGUGGAGUAAAAUUCAAGAAUGCUCAGAAGAAUAUUUUCAUGAAAAGAUACUGGAUGAAGCGCAAAUAUCCAGGAUAUUCUACUAAUUUCAUGGAGUAUAGAAGCCAAAACUUUAACCAACUGAGUAUAAUAGAAAUAUGAAACUGUAAAUGGAUUUUCGCCCGCCAUGCGGUAAUCCACGUAGACAGAUCAUUUCCAUAAUUUAAUAAGGAAUGAAUACAAAGGAUCAUUCACCAUGCAUGUGGUAAUCCACAUAGAUAGGUUAUUCCAACAGAAUAAUAAAGAAUGGAAUAACAAAAGAAUUCACCAGGCAUGCGAUAGACCGCACAAAUAGGUUAUUCCAACAGAAUAAUAAAAAAUGUAACCAGGUCAUGCGUAAUCCGCACAGACAGGAUAUUCUAACAGGAUAAUAAAAAAUGGAACCAGGUCAUGCUGAAUCCGCAAAGACAGGAUGUUCCAACAGAAUAAUAAAGAAUGGAAUAACAACAGAAUUCACCAGGCAUGUGAUAGACCGCACAGACAGGUUAUUCUAACAGAAUAAUAAAAAAUGGAACCAGGUCAUGCAUAAUCUGCACAAACAUGAUAUUCCAACAGAAUAAUAAAUAAUGGAAUAACAACAGAAUUCACCAGGCAUGCGAUAGAUCACACAAACAGGUUAUUCUAACAGAUAAUAAAGAAUGGAAUAACAGAAGAAUUUCACUAUGUAUGCGGUACUUCACAUAGACAGGUUAUUCUAACAUAAUAAUAAAGAAUGGAAUAACAACCCUUACGAGUAUUGAAAGAAAAUAAAUCUCUUCAUGAAAUUAGACACUGGAAAUUUUCUGCACACCUGUUACUGACAUUGCAGGAGGGUAUAUUUGUCUUUCAGAGAUAACCCUGGAAGACAGCUGACAUCCAUUUCGGAUACUACCGGAAGUUUAGUUCCAACCCGGAACUCAAACUGGGAACAUCAGUUCCAACCCAGAGCACGAACCGGGAACGUCAUUCCAAACCCCGGAACACACACCGGGAGUGUCAUUUCCAAUCUCAGAGAUAACCCCGAGGUAUGCAGAUCAAAAGACUGGCAACAACACCGGAGAGGACAGUUCUGUCUCAGCGAUAACACCAUGACGCUCAGUUCCAGUCCCAGAAAUAACACUGGGAAUAGCGACUCCAUCCUUGGUGAUAGCCCCAAGGGAUGUUUUUGCAGUUCCGGCGAUAAUUCUGAAAUUGUUUGUUUCAAACACAUGCGAUCAGCUUCAAGCUCAUACCUCCUGACGAGGCACUCAUACCUCAGACCCGGAGCUAAUAAUGGGCAGACAGGCACACCCACAGAUGACAGUGAGGCAUACAAACAAGCAGUCCAAUCCCAGAUAUAACCCUGAGCAACGUCUGCUUUUCGCUCAAACCGGCGAUAACCCCAGUGAGGAGUUAAAACGCCGUCUUACCGCCUCAACAUUUUCUCUCACAAGAUGAUAUCGCAGCAUACCAACAAGUAGUCCAAUCUCAGAUGUAACCCUGAGCAACGUCUACUUUCAACUCAAACCGGCGAUAACCCCGGCGAGGAGUCAAACGUCAUCUUGUCUCUUCAACACCUGCGCGUCAUCUCAACACUACAUAUAUACAUACAUCCAACAAUGUCCCACAAGAACCGAGGAGUUACAAUCCCGAGUGACUAUUACGCAUGGCAGUACUUUGGAUAGAAUUUGAAGCUUGAAGACCAUGGGCAUAGACCCAUCUUCCUGACUUCGUACAACCUCUAAUUCAUGUCAUUGCGUAACUGUCGACACAAGCGGUCCAAAGAAGGUCAGAUAUACAUCGUUCGGAUGCUCGGAUUGAAGUUCUGCAAGUUCGAGCGGAUAUUACAGUGCAUGAGUGCACGUACUUCAAGACGACGGGACCCGUGAGGUUCGGAUGCACCACGACCAGCCGCAGGUACAAUCGCGGCUGCCGCAGGUGUACCUGCGGCCAUCAGUCUAUAAAUAUGAGCCUUGGGGUCCGCCAUUUGAAGAGGAGAAGGAGAGGUAAAGGCGAGGAAGCCCUAUCCAUUUUACUCUGUAUACACAUAUAGCUAUCUUUUAUGAGCCUUGGGGUCAUCUUUAAACACUUGUUAGCUCACAUAUAGCUAUCUUUUAUCCGGCGGGAGCUGAGUGUUUAUCCAUUUAAAGUCAUAGAAGUCUACAUUGGCAACCCACUGUAAGCCUUCUCACAUUAUAUAAAGCCUUCUUCUCAUAUUAGCACACACUGUUAUACACAUUGAGAGUCGUGUUGUGUGCGUUUGCCGGGACUUCGGUCCGUGGUUUUCAUUUCUGUCGGUAUAUAUAUACUUAUAUAUGUAUAUAUUUCAUAUAUGGACUAACAUUAUCGAGUUAUGCCUCGAUUGAGCCUAGACUUCGNNNNNNNNNNNNNNNNNNNNNNNNNNNNNNNNNNNNNNNNNNNNNNNNNNNNNNNNNNNNNNNNNNNNNNNNNNNNNNNNNNNNNNNNNNNNNNNNNNNNNNNNNNNNNNNNNNNNNNNNNNNNNNNNNNNNNNNNNNNNNNNNNNNNNNNNNNNNNNNNNNNNNNNNNNNNNNNNNNNNNNNNNNNNNNNNNNNNNNNNNNNNNNNNNNNNNNNNNNNNNNNNNNNNNNNNNNNNNNNNNNNNNNNNNNNNNNNNNNNNNNNNNNNNNNNNNNNNNNNNNNNNNNNNNNNNNNNNNNNNNNNNNNNNNNNNNNNNNNNNNNNNNNNNNNNNNNNNNNNNNNNNNNNNNNNNNNNNNNNNNNNNNNNNNNNNNNNNNNNNNNNNNNNNNNNNNUAUAUAUAUAUAUAUAUAUAUAUAUUUACCGCUUUUAUAUAUAUUUACAUUUCCGAUCCCCCAUGGAGUUGCUUCGUGGUGGUUGAUCAUGUCUGUAUAUAUAUAUUUACAGCUUUUAUAUAUAUAACUUCUUACUGCUUUCCAUACAAAUUGCAGUAUCAUGUGAGCCUAGGAAUCAUGUGAUCACAGAUUCAGUCUACAGAAUCUAGAUUCGGUUCCCAUGAUGGAUAUUUUUCAGCUGUAAGCAGCUUGUACAUUAUUUUACAGUGUCCAAAUUUCCUUGGAUGGCUGUCAAGCCCAUGAGGAGUUCGGCACUGCUGUAUAUUAUUUUCUCGAGAAUGCUUCGCAUCUCAAAAAUAAAAGCAAACAAGCUAAAUAUUUAAUAAUAAAAUGGAAGUAUCAAAGGCCUCAAUUACUAUUGAACACAGGGUUUGAAAAAACCUCUUUUACAAAACGUCAUUGCUAUAUCUUGUUUAAAACUGAAUUUUUUCAUAAAUUCAAACCCUAUGUAUAUAGGUGCGAACGAGGUACAACACUACUUCCAAAUAAUUGCACAUUGAUCCACACACACACACACACACACAUACACAUUCAUAUAAUAGUUUCUUUGGAAAGUGGCGGUCACCGUGGUAACACAGAUGUCGGGGGGUGCCUAACACCUUCCCUCUGCAUAAUCAAGCCCCCGAACCCAAAAUAAAUCUCGGUUUCAUAGACCCGUCUAGCAGUGUCAAAUCACUGGGUCAAUGUGCAAACCUUUUCGGUUGCGUUGAUGCAACCAGUUAAAUACACCAACUGGCGACUCUUAAAGUCAAAUCGUCGACAUUAUACAUGUCGAACCUUUUUCACUUGUUUUUUCAAACAAAUCUCACAUUAACAUGAGAACACCAAAGAACAAGUAACGAAAAGGGACACUCGAAAAUCCCGACGUCGACAGGCGGCGACUCUGCUGGGGACUCCAGUAAGAGGGCUUAAGCCGCUAUUACAAGAUUUUCAAAAUUGUUAUAUGCUUGUGUAUGAAUGUUGCAUUUACAUUUCUGAUAAAUAUGUACGAAUGCAUUUUUAUUUACUGCACUGCUAAAUAUCUAUCUGUGAUAUUAGUGCUUCGCACAUGUUAUCAUUUUGCAUAAACGGUAAGAUACGUUGUAUGUGAAUGUAUGUUGUGUGGUUCCUCCAUCAGGAGGCUAUCCUGUCGGUGUUUGAUUACAGGACUUGUAGGAAGAAUAAUUCCAACGAGGCUCAGGAAAGGCAUCACCCAGAUUCGCUCCAAUUGAAAGACCAGAUUAACUUUUCGUCGAGUAAAUUGCGAUGAUCUGGGAACCUUCAUGCCAAAAAGCCGCGAGAGUAACCCUAAGAUAGGUCAUGUAGCGCCCCCGAAUCGUCGCGGAUCCGGUUCGCUAUUUUUAUAACUGUUGCGGAAGAUAUAAACAUAAAUUGUUUAUACAUUAAACAUUAUACACUAUCCCCAAGGUCGAGUAACCAUAACUUAUACACAUUUCAUAACUUAUCUGACACAUGAUAUUAUCAUACAAGACUAUUAUAAAUCUAAUCACGCAUAUUAACUCUAAGCUGGAACUGUCUUUAACUUUCCUUGUAUCCGAAGCAUUCGUCUUUAUCUGCAAUAUUUUAUCAUGAUAUAGAAAGGGUGUGCAUGAAAGUUGCCCAGCAAGUUUAAAUACAAUUUAAGGAUAUAUCAUGAUUGAAAGAGUCUGAAUAAUAAGCUGGCUAUAAUUCACAAUGUAGUUGUGAAUUAGCAUGAACAAACUUUUGACUGAACAAGUAUUACAUAUGAACAAUAUAUAUCUGGACCAACUGGUAAUGAAGGUGAUCAGCCUUUCAUACCUGACUUAUACAUACAAGAUGUACAGAGUACAAUUCUACAUGGCAAUCAGUAAUGAUUAACCAUAAGCAUAUCUGAAUGAAACACUCUUAGUAGAGUUAAGAAAAACAAACUUGCCUGUUCCGUUGAUUACCGAUACGAAAAAUAACUUAGCUUUAUCCGAAGACCUAAUACAGAUAAUACCGAUCUCCAAAUAUUAGAAUAAUAUCAUCACAGUAUAAAAUAACCUAAACACAUUAUCACAUAAUCCUGUCAGUCUAUACAACACAUAAGACUUAGCAUCAAAUCAGACUAUUUAAGUCUAAGUUGAAACCGACACAAUUCAAUCAUCCCGACGGUCAAAUCGGACAAUAUCGAGUUUAAGUUCAAUUAAACUCUGCCUAAACAAUUAACAAUAAUCUUAGAUAAUCAUAGUAUCAGUCAAAACAUUUUUCAUAAACUUGCAAAAAUUUUCAGAUAAUUAAUAUCAUUUAACAACAUUUUUCAAUCAUUAAUACUGUAUUUAAAUGAAUUAAAUACCACAAUAUUCUAAUAUCAUUAAUAUUUAUUUAAUAUUAAACAUUAAUGAAACACAUGUCAUAAUAUUAUAACAUAUUUGUAAUAUCUCAAAGUAUUUUCAAUACUUUAUUAUUUCCUUUAAAUGUUUUUAAAGUAAUUAAAAACAUAAACCAAUAACUGAUAUUAAUAUAAAUACCACAUUAUUCCUUGAUCAUUAAUAUUAAUUUAAUACCAAAUAUCAAUGAAAAUCAUAACAUAAUAUUAUAAUAUAAUUAUAACAUCACAAAGUAUUUUAAUACUUAAAAAUCAUAUUUCUAUGAUUUUUAAACAAUCAAAUUCAUUAUCCGAUAAUUGCUAUAAAUAUUAAAAUAUUAAUAUUUUCAUGACAAAAUAUCAAAAGUUAUAUUUUAUAACUCAAAAUAUUUUUAUAACACUUAAAUCAUUUUUAUAUGAUUUUUAAAGCAUUAAUUCUAUUUUUCCAUAAUUUUCCAAGUUCCUUUAGUAUUUUUCAAAAAUCAUUUCUAGUUAAUUCCUUAAGAAAUUAGCUACCUUGUGCUUAACUCCAGAAAUUCCCAUCUUCUGACACAAUCUUACACAUGUUAUCGUGAGUCUCCAGUUUAAAUUUCGUGGCAAUCGGAGUUGUAGAACUCCGGUUAUAGCCGUUUUCGUCGGAAAAUCACAAAAAUUGAAAUGGUCAUAACUCGGUCAUUUUAAGUCGGAAUUAGCUCAUUUUUGGACACAAGGUACUUAAUACCAUAUAUUUUCAUUUCCCAAAAGGCCGGAAUUUAUUUCAUAAAUUAAAUUACCGAAACAGCCCUCACAAAAUAUUAGCAGCUUACUUUUUGUCAAAAACAGUUUUGGAGUCCUUUACUAAAUCUUAAAUAAAAUGAGAUCUAUAACUCCGAUUAAUGAUCCGUCAAUUUUGUUGGAUUCGUAUCUUUCCGAUCUACAAUUUUCAUCUAUCACAAUCCAUAUUUGGACAUGUUAAGCUCUCGGAAAUUAGCCCGGAAGUGGCUGUUAAAAACUGUUGCUCUAACAGUUUUUCUUACCUUUGAGUAGUUUGGGAGAAAUUCCAUAACUUGCUCAUUUUUCAACCUAAUUGAGUGAUUCCAAAGGGGUUUUAUCCUUAACACAUAUAUCUAGCUCCACAAAUUGACCACACUCAAAAAUUCAAAGUAGAAUGAGAGAUAAGGUCAUUUCCAUAUCAUGCUUGGUUUCUCCAAAAAUUUUGUUUUCGCAGUUUUGAUUAUGCUUCUUCCGAACGUCAUAACUACUUCAUCCGGAGUCCGAAUUAGUCCGUUCCGGAGUCUAUGGAAAGCUUAUUUAGUGUACUACAACAUAUCAAAAGUCCAGAAUUUUUAGACCAUCCAAACAAAUCCGGAAUUUUCUGUUUAGGGGCAGCAGUUACCAAUUCAUUUUAAAAAAACUGUUUUGGUUCUUCUUCUUUGUUCAAGCUCAUCAACCUUAAAAAUGGCAAGAUCUAACCAUAAAAUAUCAUAUAUUAUGUAGACCUUCCCUCAUAUGGUUCAAAAUCAUAAGUUCAACACUUGGUCUAAAACAACCAUAACAAAACACAUAAACUAACUAGAGUUUUGAGUUUAGGAAAUUUUCAUACCUUUAGUUAUAAUCCUCUAGCUUUUGGUGGCCCUCUUUCUUUGCUUUCCAAAGUAGGAGAUUAAAUUAUUGGACAUCCAAGGACCCUCUCUUCUCCCUCCAUGGGAGUGGCCGAACACCACCUCUCCCUCUCUCAUGAUUUUAUUUUGCUAGCUAACUUGGAAAUAAUAAUAUAAGAGAGAAAUAGCUUUUGUGACUUUAUAAAAAUGUAUAGAUAUAAUUGUAUAUCUAAUAAUCAUCUCCCCACUCACUUUCUCUUUCUCUUUCUCUCAUUGCAAGAAUAAUAAAAGUGAUGAAAGACAAAAAAAAAAAGAUAGAUUUUUAUGAAGUGUGGUUUUUAAUUACCCAAACCCACUUCUCUUCUUCUCUCUUGUUUCAUCCGGCCAUGUGCCUUAUCAAUUCUCUCUUUCUCCCUUAGUCAAUUGCCAAAGGAUUGCUUGCAAGAAAGAACAAACAUGUUGGCAAAAUAACAAAUUGAC
rnacentral:lncRNA from 1 species